AAGGUCCAAAACAGAAACGGAAGCUUAACGGCCAUUUUAAAAAUGGAGGAGAAAGAAAUCCUAGGAAAGAAGGAAUAAAAUGAAAUGUAAAAAACGGAGUAAACAGUCUGUUGUGGAGUGGAACUGAGUUGCUGUGUUUCAAGCUGCUUAUAUAUCGGGUGAACGGACAAGGAAGAACGCAGGCACCUAUUACGCGAAAAAGCGUCCAUCUACAGAGAAAGACAAAGAACUGACGAACGAAAUGAAAAUGGUUGCUGACCUUUGAAAAUCAGGCAAUGGAUCAAAAAAUAAACUGAAGAUGCUAGUUACUACUGUGAGGGCAAUAAUGAAGAAGUUUAAAACUGCUGGAGGGCAGCAUGGUGGUGUGUGUGGAGUUUGCAUAUUCUCAUCCCAUGUCUGCAUGGGUUUCCUCCCA